rnacentral:lncRNA from 1 species
UUUAGUUGGUAUCUAUCAUCGACGCAUGCCACGUUUGGAUCUAGUGGUGUUACAUGGGGCGGGAUGUGUCAGUUUGGUAUCAAAGCAUGCAUUAGAGUUCAUGGGUUUGCAUUAUACAUGCAUACAUUCUGAUGUUUAGCAUAUCAUGCAUAACUGUAGGUGAGUUAUGCCUCGUGGUGGCAAAACUCGAAGGCUCUAAGAUAUGUUGCCCCAGUCUCAUAUUGCUCUUGAUAGAGAUGAAUUGAGAGAGCUCGAGAGAAUAUAUGAAUCAGUUCACCAACCUCUUGAACAACGGGGACAGGGAAAUGUGAUUGGAAUUGAUCCUAUUGCUGUUGAAAGAAUUGCUAUUGCCGUUGCAUCUGCUAUGAGUAAUACUGACAGAGUUUCAGUAUUGAAAGGGCUACAAAGUUAGGGGCUAAAGUGUUCACUGGCACAGCCGAUCCUGUAAUUGCACAGGCAUGGAUGACUAAGAUAGAGAGAGUAUUUGAUGUUAUGGGUUGCUCAGACGAUAGGAAGUUGUGUCUCGCCACUUUCUUAUUAGAGGAAGGUGCAUACGAUUGGUGACAGUCGGUAUGGAGCACAUAUCUAGACCCUUCCAUCAUCACUUGGACAGAAUUCAGACGUAUCUUUUAUGAUGCCUAUUACCCUCAGUCCUAUAAAGAUGCAAAGAAGGAGGGAUUUUUGAAACUAAUACAAGGCCAAAUGACUAUUGUCGAAUAUCAGGUGAAAUUUAUUGAACUUUCAAAAUAUGUCCAAGUUUUGGUAUGCAACGAAAUUGAUAAAUGCAGACGGUUUGAAAAUGAGUUAAGGGAAGAAAUCAGGUCAGUUGUAACAGUUGCAGGCUGGAAUGAAUUUGGAAAAUUAGUGGAAUCAGCUUUGAGAGUGGAAAAGAGCAUUUCUGAUAGGCCAAGUGGUAAAGAACAAACAAUGUCCAGAGCAAGCGGUAGUCAGACAAUGGUAAGUGUUUCUAGCUAUAGACCACCAUAGAGGGACAGUAGAGGAUUUCGACUUGGUGUGUCCAGUUCAAGUCAAUUCAAAUCUCGACUCCGAGGAAGUUAGGGUCCUAGAUUCAGUCCCAGUACUGUACAGCAACCAGUGGCCAGUCGUACUUAUACUCAGGGUUCUUCCCAGAGAUUAUUUACUUCGAGA